UUUUGAUUUAUAUUUAUUUCUUGGAUGUCAGUCUUACAUAGUUUGAUUAUGUGGUUUGCUAGUUUUAGUUUUAAGCUUUAAGUGACUAUUUUGGGAAUGUAUUUAGGAGCUUAUUUGUAGAAUUCAAUUACAUUAAAUGAGUUUUCAUUUUUGGGUUCCUUAAAAUUCCUUAAAGUUUUCAGUUUCUUUUUUACAAAUUGCUUAAACUAUUUUUUUUGGCUUUAGAUAUUCAAAGUCAAAUUGGCGUUUAAAAACUUUUUGCUACUUUUUUACUUUGAAAUUGACUUAAUAAACUACUUCCUUUUGGAUUUUUGAAAAGUCAUAACACAGAAAUAAUUAAAAUUUUAACUUUAUGGUUAAAUGUAAUAAGGAAUACUUGAAGGUCCACUCCAGUCCAGGCCUUGCUUUGUUGCCAUCCUGAAUGCUGCACUAAUUAAUAACUUACCUAUCAGGAAACUUGACUUGCUGUGGACUUGUUCCUCUAGUCAAACAUUAUUGAAAGUUAAUGCCCACAGUUUCAAUUUUCUGUGGUUCCUUGUCUCCACAGCCCCCAGAUCCUCCCCAGCCCUCCUCCCAGCAACCGACCCCCCCCCCACCGCCGACCAUCUGGCACCAGCCCUUCCCCUGCCCUGCGUCCUGCCCCAGCCCCAGCCCCAGCCCCAGCCCCAGCCCCAGCCGCCCAGUCCCAGCCCCAGCCCCAGCCCCAGCCCCAGCAUCAGCCCCGCCCCCAGCCCCAGGUCCAUCCCCAGUCCCAAUCCCAGUCCCAAUCCCAGCCCCAGUCCCAGCCCCAGGCCCAGGCCCAGCCCCAGCCCCAGCCCCAGCCCCAGCCCCAGGCCCAGCCCCAGGCCCAGCCCCAGCCCCAGGCCCAGCCCCAGCCAUCACCCCUAAAGUCAUUCCCAAUUUGCAUUGAUUUGGUGCUAAAAAUAAGUUGUCCAUUGCUGGUCCAUAAGACUGGAAUACCCUAUCUGCCUCUCUAGCAUUGCUAAUUUUCUGAGUUGACUACUUGAGUCAUUUUCAAUUAAUGUACACAAUCCCAUUUGCCCACUGUCCCAUGUUAGAACAAACAGUCCAUGUACCUUUGUGUUAAUGUUAGAAAAUGUUAUUUAAGAGCUUCAUAUCAGACACCUAUUGUUCAUAAUUUUGGUUAUUCAUCAUCUCUCCCGUGCCCUUCAGGAAGGAGAAACCAUUCCUCUGUCAUUGCUGCAGUAGUCACAGUCCCAGUUUUCUGGGCAGUGUUCAUAAAUUGUGCUGAUCCACCUGAACUCUACACUGAGUGAAAUUUUAAUUGUCCAUAAUCCUGCCCAUUGGAUUAGAUCCCAGUCCAAUACCCUUGUGCUGAAUUCAGGAGUGGGUGCAGAGAACAUGAGUCUUUAAACGGUUAACAUGCUCAGUCCCAAUUGUAUCAGCCUUGUUCAUUAAACAAAGGCACCCUACCAUUUUUGUCCUGCUUCUGGGAUUAAAGUACCAAAUUGUUAUUGUACAUCGUCUUGCCCAGUAAUCAAUGACCCUCCAUCCCCUUUGCAUUGCUACUAGGAAGUGCUGACUACCUGGGAUCAUAUUCCUUGAAUGAGUAAUGAGUAUAAUCCCAAUUGUCCACGCCCCUGUUCAUUACACAAAUCCUUUGCAACUUCUUUGCAUUAUAGCAGAGGUGCUCAUCCUCAGAGUCCUUUAACUUUGGGAUAUUAAUGAGUACAAUUAUUAUUGUUCAUGGUCCUGUCUGAAAGACAAGACCCACCCAUGCUCUUUUCAUUACUUCUAGGUAGUGCAGACUGCUUACUACCUUGCAUUAAUAUAUAAAAUCCUCAUUGCCCAUGGCCCCACCAGUUAGUUUGGGAUAUAACCUUAUCUUUAUGCCAUUGCUUAUGAGGAGUUCUGAUUACCUGAGGUCAAUUCUUUUAAACAGUUGGUGUGCAUAAUUGCAUAUAUCCAUGGUGCUGUGCAAUGAAAAAUGAAAUCCCACCCCAUCCUAACCUCUUUGGGAUAUUGCUAGGGAGUGCAGAUUAUUCAAGAACUCAGUUCUUGGACAGUUAAUUUGCACAGUUGCAGUUGUGCAGAGUCCUGUCCAUUUAAAAGGGCCACUAUAUCCCAUUUGCAUGCUAUAAUGUGGGCUGAUCACUCAAGGAUCCUCUUGAAUUGAUAAUUUUCAUAAUUGCAUUGGCACGUAUUCUGUGAACUAGCCACACGCACUCCCUUUGUAUUCUAGCAGGGGACCUUUACUAAAGAACUAUACACUUAGGAUACUUUGUGUGUACAAUAUUAAUUGAUUAGACUGAGCCUUUUGUAUUAGGAACUCUGCACCAUCUUUACAUCUAAAAGGUGCUAAUUACCUAAGGCUCUUCUCCUAAAAUUGUUCAUGUGCAAAAUGGCGAUCUCCGAUGUCUCCUGUGGUUAACCUAGAAUCCCAUUUCCACCUAACUCCCUUUGCAUUACUGCAGAGGCUGCUUGGGCCCUUUAAGGGGCUUAAGGCAGUUAUAGUCCCUUCUGUUAGUCUAUGUUCUCAUCCCCUCCUAUUUCCUUUGCAUUACUGCACUGAAUACUUGGAAAUGUUAAUGUUCAUAAUUGCAGCUAUAAUUCCUUCUGUUAGUCUAGGAUCCUGUCCCUUUCUACUCAUUUUGCAUUAGCAUAAAGUGUACAAUGGGACUGUUAACGUGCUUAAAUGUAGCUCUGUCCCUUAUGUUAGUGUAGGAUUCCAUCCUCUUCAACUCCCUAUGCGUUACAGCUGAGGGUAGUUGGGAUCUUUAAGGUCCUCAAAGGCGGCUAUGGUGCCUUCUGUUAGUCUAGGAUCCCAUCCCCUCCUACUUCCUUUGCAUUUCUGCAGAGGAUACUUGGGACUGUAAUGUGGGUAAUUGCUGCCAGAGUUCUUUCGGUUUGUCUAGGAUCCCAGUCCCCUCCCUCUUACUGAGUUUGCAUUACACGGAGUACAAGGGACUGCUAAUGUGCUUAAAUGGCAGCUAUGGUCUCUGUUAACCUAGGAUCCCUUUUUCUCCAUUUAAAUGCAGAGGGUACUUGGGACUGUUGAUGUGCAUAAUUGCAGUUAUGGUCCCUUCGGCUGGAUCCUAUCCCCACCUACUCCCUUUGCAUUAUCAUGAAGGGUACAAUGGGACUAUUAAUGAGCUUAAUUGUAGCUAUAGUUCCUUCAGUUAACCUAGUUUCCCAUGCACUCCCACUUCCUUUGUAUUACAACAGAGGGUACUUGAGACUUUUAAGGUGCUUAAAUGCAGCUAUGGCCCUUUCUGUUUAUGUUCCCAUCCCCUCCUACUUUGCAUUACUGCAGAGGAUACUUGGGACUAUUAAUGUGCCUACUUGCCACUGUAGUCCCUUCUUUUGUCUGGGAUCCCAUCCCCUCCUACAGGGUUUGCAUUACCACAGAAGUUACAAGGGCCUAUUAAUGUGCUUAAAGGCAGCUAUGGUUUCUUCUCUUAACCUGGGAUCCAGUCCUUGUCUAACUUCCUUUGCAUUAUUGCGAAGGGUACUUGGGACUGUUAAUGUCCUCUAAGGCAGUUAUGGUUCCUUACGUCACUGUAAGAUUCCAUUCUCUCUAACUCCCUAUGCAUUACUGCACAGGGUACUUGGGCCCUUUAAGGUGCUUAAAUGCAGCUAUGGCCCUUUCUGUUAGUUUAUGUUCCUAUCCCCUCCUAUUUCCUUUGCAUUCCUGCAGAGGCUACUUGGGACUGUAAAUGUGCUUAAUUGCAGUUACAAUCCCUUCUGUUAGUCUAGGAUUCCAUCCCCUUCUAUUCGCUUUGCAUUAGCACACCAAUGUGCAUGGGACUGUUAAUGUGCUAAAUGCAGUUCUGUCCCUUAUUAAUGUAGGAUUCCCUCCUCUCCAACUCCCUGUGCAUUACAGCAGAGGGUACUUGGCACCUUUAAGGUGCUUGAAUGUAGCUGUGGUGCCUUCUGUCAAGUCUAGGAUCCCAUUCCCCUUCUACUCCCUUUACAUUACAUGGCAGGGCAUUUGGGACUGUUCUUGUGCGUAACUGCAGUUACAGUCCCUUCUGUUCGUCUAGUUUCCCAUGCCCUCCUACUUCCUUUGCAUUACAGCAGAGGGUACUUGAGACCUUUAAGGUGUUUAAUUGCAGCCACGGUCCCUUCUGUUAGUCUAGGAUCUCACAUCCUUUAACUCCCUUUGUAUUCCCUGGGAUUGUCUUUGGGACUGUUAAAGUGCUUAGUUGCAGCUAUGGUCCCUUUCCUUAGUCUAGGGUCCCAUCCCUUCCUAUUCACUUUGUAUUACCUGGAAGUGGAUUUGGGACUAUUAAUGUGCUUCUUUGCAGCUGUGGUCCCGUUUGUUAGUCUGGGGUCCUGUGUGUUCCAACUCCUUCUGCACACAACAAGGACUACUUGGGACUAUUAAUAUGUUUAAUUUUAGCUGUGGUCCCUUCCAGUAGUCUAGGUCCCCUCCAUCUUCUAUUCGCUUUGCAUUAGCACACAGUGUACACGGGACUGUUAAUGUGCUUAAAUGAAGCCUUGUCCCUCAUGUUAAUGUCGGAUUCCCUCCUCUCCAACUCCCUGUGCAUUAUAGCAGAGGGUGCUUGGCACCUUUAAGGUGCUUGAAUGUAGCUGUGGUGCCUUCUGUCAGUCUAGGAUCCCAUCCCCUCCUGUUUCCUUUGCCUUUAUGCAGAGGAUACUUGGGACUGUAAAUGUGCUUAACUGCCACCAGAGUCCCUUUAGUUUGUCUAGGAUCCCAUCCCCUCCUAUUCAGUUUGCAUUACAGAGUUUACAUGAGACUGUUAUUGUGCUUAAAUCCUAUCCCCACCUAACUACUUUUGCAUUAUACGUAAUGUAUAUGAAGUCUCUUAUAUGCUUAAAUGAAGCCUUGUCCCUCAUGUUAAUGUCGGAUUCCCUCCUCUCCAACUCCCUGUGCAUUACAGCAGAGGGUACUUGGCACCUUUAAGGUGCUUGAAUGUAGCUGUGGUGCCUUCUGUCAAGUCUAGGAUCCCAUUCCCCUUCUACUCCCUUUACAUUACAUGGCAGGGCAUUUGGGACUGUUCUUGUGCGUAACUGCAGUUACAGUCCCUUCUUUUAGUCUAGGAUCCUAUGCCCUCCCACUUCCUUUGCAUUAGAGCAGAUGGUGUUUGGGACUGUUAAUGAACUUAAUUACAGCUAUAGUCCCUUCUGUUAAUCUAGUUUCCCACGCACUCCUACUUCCUUUCAUUUCAGCAGAGGGUACAUGAGACCUUUAAGGUGCUUAAGUGCAGGUAUGGCCCAUUCUGUUUCUGUUCCCAUCUCCUACUUCCUUCGCAUUACUGCAGAGGCUACUUGGGACUGUUAAUGUGCCUAAUUGCCGCUAUAGUUUUUUCUGUUUGUCUAGAUUCUUAUCCUCUCCUGCAUGGUUUGCAUCACCAAAGAGAGUACAAGGGACUGUUAAGGUGCUUAAAUGCAGCUACUGUCUUUUCUGUUAACUUAGGUUCCCAUCCCCACCUAAUUCUCUUUGCAUUAUUGCAGAGGGCACUUGAGACUGCUAAUGAACUUACCGUAGCAGUGGUCCCUUCUAUUAGAGUAGGAACCCGUUCCCACAUACUCCCUUUACAUUGUCAUGGAGGGUACAUGGGACUGUUAAUGUGCUUAAAUGCAUCCACAGACCCUUAAGUUUGUAGGAUUCCAUCCUGGCCAACUCCUUGUGUAUUACAGCAGAGGGUAGUUUUGACCUUGAAGGUGCUUAAAUGCAGCUGUGGCCCCUUCUGUUAGUUUAUGUUCCUAUCCUCUCCUACUUUGCAUUACUGCAGAGGAUAGUUGGGACUGUUAGCAUGCCUAAUUGCUGCUACAAUCCCUUCUGUUAGUCUAAGAUCACGUCUCAUUCCACACCGUUUGCAUUACCACAGAGGGUACAAGGGAUUGUUAAUGUGUUUAAACGCAGCUAAGAUCUCUUCUAUUAACCUAGGACCUGGUCCCCACCUAACUCUGUCUGCAUUAUUGCAGAGGGUGCUUGGGACUGUUAAUGUGCUGUAAUGCAGCUAUGGUCCCUUCUUUUAGACCAGGAUCCCAUCCCUACCUACUCCCUUUGCAUUAUCAUGGAGCAUACGUGGGACUGUUAAUGUGCUUAAAUGAAGCCAUGGUCCCUUAUGUUAGUGUAGGAUUCCAUCCUCUUCAACUCCCUGUGUGUUACAGCAGAGGGUAGUUGGGUUCUUUAAGGUCCUCAAAGGCAGCUAUGGUGCCUUCUGUUAGUCUAGGAUCCCAUCCCCUCCUACUUCCUUGCAUUUCUGCAGAGGAUACUUGGGACAGUUAAUGUGCCUAAUUGCCACUAAAGUCCCUUCUGUUGUCUAUGAUCCCAUCCCCUCCCAAAUCGUUUGCAUUGCUACAGAAGGUACAAGGGACAAUUAAGUGUUUGAAUGCAGCUACUGUCUCUUCUGUUAAUCUAGGAUCCUGUCCUCUUACUGGGUUUCCAUUACCACAGUAAGUACAAGGGACUGUUAAUGUAUCGAAUUGCCACUACAGUCCCUUCUGUUUGUCUAGGAUCCUGUCCCUCCUACAGGGUUUGCAAUACCACAAAAAGUACAAGGGACUGUUAAUGUGUUUAAAGGCAGCUAAAGUCUCUUCUGUUAACCUAGGAUUCCAUCCCCACCUAAUUGCAUUUGCAUAAUUGCAGAGGGUACUUGGGACUGUUAAUGUGCUUAAGUGCAGCUAUGGUCCCUUAUGUUAAUGUAGGAUUCCAUUCUCUCUAACUCCCUGUGCAUUACAGCAGAGGGUAGUUGGGACCUUUAAGGUUCUUAAACACAGCUGUGGGGCCUUCUGAUAGUCUAGGAUCCCAUCCCCACCUAACUCCCUUUGCAUUACUGCAGAGGAUACUUGGGACUGUUAAUGUGCCUACUUGCCACUAUAGUCCUUUCUGUUUGUCUAGGAUCCCAUCUCCUCCUACAGCAUUUGCAUUAUCACCGAUGGUGCGAGGAACUGUUAAUGUGCUUAAAUGUACUUAUGGUCCCUUCUGUUAGACGAGGAUUCCAUCGCCACCUAUUCCCUUUGCAUCAUGGAGGGUACAUGGGACUGUUAAUGUUGCUUAAAUGCAGCUACAGCCCAUAUGUUAGUGUAGGGAUUCCAUCCUCUCUAACUCCUUAUGCAUUAACAGCAGAGGGUAGUUGUGAUCUUCACGGUCCUCAAAGGCAGCUAUGGUGCCUUCUGUUAGUCUAGGAUCCCAUCCCCACCUCACUUCCUUUGCAUUACAUAGAGGGUACUUGAGACCUUUAAGGUGCUUAAAUGCAGCUGUGGCCCCUUCUGUUUAUGUUUCCAUCCUCUCCUAUUUUGCAUUACUGCAGAGGGUACUUGGGACUGUUGAUGUGCCUAAUUGCUGCUAUAGUCCCUUCUGUUUGUCUGGGAUCCCAUCCCCUCCUACAGGGUUUGCAUUACCACUGAGGGUGUGAGGGACUGUUAAUGUGCUGUAAUGCAGCUAUGGUCCCUUCUUACAGACCAGAAUCCCAUCCCUACCUACUCCCUUUGCAUUAUCAUGGAGCGUACAUGGGACUGUUAAUGUGCUUAAAUGAAGCCAUGUCCCUUAUGUUAGUGUAGGAUUCCAUCCUCUUCAACUCCCUAUGCGUUACAGCUGAGGGUAGUUGGGAUCUUUAAGGUCCUCAAAGGCGGCUAUGGUGCCUUCUGUUAGUCUAGGAUCCCAUCCCCUCCUAUUUCCUUUGCCUUUAUGCAGAGGAUACUUGGGACUGUAAAUGUGCUUAACUGCCACCAGAGUCCCUUUAGUUUGUCUAGGAUCCCAUCCCCUCCUACUCAGUUUGCAUUACAGAGUUUACAUGAGACUGUUAUUGUGCUUAAAUCCUAUCCCCACCUAACUACUUUUGCAUUAUACGUAAUGUAUAUGAAGUCUCUUAUAUGCUUAAAUGAAGCCUUGUCCCUCAUGUUAAUGUCGGAUUCCCUCCUCUCCAACUCCCUGUGCAUUACAGCAGAGGGUACUUGGCACCUUUAAGGUGCUUGAAUGUAGCUGUGGUGCCUUCUGUCAAGUCUAGGAUCCCAUUCCCCUUCUACUCCCUUUACAUUACAUGGCAGGGCAUUUGGGACUGUUCUUGUGCGUAACUGCAGUUACAGUCCCUUCUGUUCGUCUAGUUUCCCAUGCCCUCCUACUUCCUUUGCAUUACAGCAGAGGGUACUUGAGACCUUUAAGGUGUUUAAUUGCAGCCACGGUCCCUUCUGUUAGUCUAGGAUCUCACAUCCUUUAACUCCCUUUGUAUUCCCUGGGAUUGUCUUUGGGACUGUUAAAGUGCUUAGUUGCAGCUAUGGUCCCUUUCCUUAGUCUAGGGUCCCAUCCCUUCCUAUUCACUUUGUAUUACCUGGAAGUGGAUUUGGGACUAUUAAUGUGCUUCUUUGCAGCUGUGGUCCCGUUUGUUAGUCUGGGGUCCUGUGUGUUCCAACUCCUUCUGCACACAACAAGGACUACUUGGGACUAUUAAUAUGUUUAAUUUUAGCUGUGGUCCCUUCCAGUAGUCUAGGUCCCCUCCAUCUUCUAUUCGCUUUGCAUUAGCACACAGUGUACACGGGACUGUUAAUGUGCUUAAAUGAAGCCUUGUCCCUCAUGUUAAUGUCGGAUUCCCUCCUCUCCAACUCCCUGUGCAUUAUAGCAGAGGGUGCUUGGCACCUUUAAGGUGCUUGAAUGUAGCUGUGGUGCCUUCUGUCAGUCUAGGAUCCCAUCCCCUCCUGUUUCCUUUGCCUUUAUGCAGAGGAUACUUGGGACUGUAAAUGUGCUUAACUGCCACCAGAGUCCCUUUAGUUUGUCUAGGAUCCCAUCCCCUCCUAUUCAGUUUGCAUUACAGAGUUUACAUGAGACUGUUAUUGUGCUUAAAUCCUAUCCCCACCUAACUACUUUUGCAUUAUACGUAAUGUAUAUGAAGUCUCUUAUAUGCUUAAAUGAAGCCUUGUCCCUCAUGUUAAUGUCGGAUUCCCUCCUCUCCAACUCCCUGUGCAUUACAGCAGAGGGUACUUGGCACCUUUAAGGUGCUUGAAUGUAGCUGUGGUGCCUUCUGUCAAGUCUAGGAUCCCAUUCCCCUUCUACUCCCUUUACAUUACAUGGCAGGGCAUUUGGGACUGUUCUUGUGCGUAACUGCAGUUACAGUCCCUUCUUUUAGUCUAGGAUCCUAUGCCCUCCCACUUCCUUUGCAUUAGAGCAGAUGGUGUUUGGGACUGUUAAUGAACUUAAUUACAGCUAUAGUCCCUUCUGUUAAUCUAGUUUCCCACGCACUCCUACUUCCUUUCAUUUCAGCAGAGGGUACAUGAGACCUUUAAGGUGCUUAAGUGCAGGUAUGGCCCAUUCUGUUUCUGUUCCCAUCUCCUACUUCCUUCGCAUUACUGCAGAGGCUACUUGGGACUGUUAAUGUGCCUAAUUGCCGCUAUAGUUUUUUCUGUUUGUCUAGAUUCUUAUCCUCUCCUGCAUGGUUUGCAUCACCAAAGAGAGUACAAGGGACUGUUAAGGUGCUUAAAUGCAGCUACUGUCUUUUCUGUUAACUUAGGUUCCCAUCCCCACCUAAUUCUCUUUGCAUUAUUGCAGAGGGCACUUGAGACUGCUAAUGAACUUACCGUAGCAGUGGUCCCUUCUAUUAGAGUAGGAACCCGUUCCCACAUACUCCCUUUACAUUGUCAUGGAGGGUACAUGGGACUGUUAAUGUGCUUAAAUGCAUCCACAGACCCUUAAGUUUGUAGGAUUCCAUCCUGGCCAACUCCUUGUGUAUUACAGCAGAGGGUAGUUUUGACCUUGAAGGUGCUUAAAUGCAGCUGUGGCCCCUUCUGUUAGUUUAUGUUCCUAUCCUCUCCUACUUUGCAUUACUGCAGAGGAUAGUUGGGACUGUUAGCAUGCCUAAUUGCUGCUACAAUCCCUUCUGUUAGUCUAAGAUCACGUCUCAUUCCACACCGUUUGCAUUACCACAGAGGGUACAAGGGAUUGUUAAUGUGUUUAAACGCAGCUAAGAUCUCUUCUAUUAACCUAGGACCUGGUCCCCACCUAACUCUGUCUGCAUUAUUGCAGAGGGUGCUUGGGACUGUUAAUGUGCUGUAAUGCAGCUAUGGUCCCUUCUUUUAGACCAGGAUCCCAUCCCUACCUACUCCCUUUGCAUUAUCAUGGAGCAUACGUGGGACUGUUAAUGUGCUUAAAUGAAGCCAUGGUCCCUUAUGUUAGUGUAGGAUUCCAUCCUCUUCAACUCCCUGUGUGUUACAGCAGAGGGUAGUUGGGUUCUUUAAGGUCCUCAAAGGCAGCUAUGGUGCCUUCUGUUAGUCUAGGAUCCCAUCCCCUCCUACUUCCUUGCAUUUCUGCAGAGGAUACUUGGGACAGUUAAUGUGCCUAAUUGCCACUAAAGUCCCUUCUGUUGUCUAUGAUCCCAUCCCCUCCCAAAUCGUUUGCAUUGCUACAGAAGGUACAAGGGACAAUUAAGUGUUUGAAUGCAGCUACUGUCUCUUCUGUUAAUCUAGGAUCCUGUCCUCUUACUGGGUUUCCAUUACCACAGUAAGUACAAGGGACUGUUAAUGUAUCGAAUUGCCACUACAGUCCCUUCUGUUUGUCUAGGAUCCUGUCCCUCCUACAGGGUUUGCAAUACCACAAAAAGUACAAGGGACUGUUAAUGUGUUUAAAGGCAGCUAAAGUCUCUUCUGUUAACCUAGGAUUCCAUCCCCACCUAAUUGCAUUUGCAUAAUUGCAGAGGGUACUUGGGACUGUUAAUGUGCUUAAGUGCAGCUAUGGUCCCUUAUGUUAAUGUAGGAUUCCAUUCUCUCUAACUCCCUGUGCAUUACAGCAGAGGGUAGUUGGGACCUUUAAGGUUCUUAAACACAGCUGUGGGGCCUUCUGAUAGUCUAGGAUCCCAUCCCCACCUAACUCCCUUUGCAUUACUGCAGAGGAUACUUGGGACUGUUAAUGUGCCUACUUGCCACUAUAGUCCUUUCUGUUUGUCUAGGAUCCCAUCUCCUCCUACAGCAUUUGCAUUAUCACCGAUGGUGCGAGGAACUGUUAAUGUGCUUAAAUGUACUUAUGGUCCCUUCUGUUAGACGAGGAUUCCAUCGCCACCUAUUCCCUUUGCAUCAUGGAGGGUACAUGGGACUGUUAAUGUUGCUUAAAUGCAGCUACAGCCCAUAUGUUAGUGUAGGGAUUCCAUCCUCUCUAACUCCUUAUGCAUUAACAGCAGAGGGUAGUUGUGAUCUUCACGGUCCUCAAAGGCAGCUAUGGUGCCUUCUGUUAGUCUAGGAUCCCAUCCCCACCUCACUUCCUUUGCAUUACAUAGAGGGUACUUGAGACCUUUAAGGUGCUUAAAUGCAGCUGUGGCCCCUUCUGUUUAUGUUUCCAUCCUCUCCUAUUUUGCAUUACUGCAGAGGGUACUUGGGACUGUUGAUGUGCCUAAUUGCUGCUAUAGUCCCUUCUGUUUGUCUGGGAUCCCAUCCCCUCCUACAGGGUUUGCAUUACCACUGAGGGUGUGAGGGACUGUUAAUGUGCUGUAAUGCAGCUAUGGUCCCUUCUUACAGACCAGAAUCCCAUCCCUACCUACUCCCUUUGCAUUAUCAUGGAGCGUACAUGGGACUGUUAAUGUGCUUAAAUGAAGCCAUGUCCCUUAUGUUAGUGUAGGAUUCCAUCCUCUUCAACUCCCUAUGCGUUACAGCUGAGGGUAGUUGGGAUCUUUAAGGUCCUCAAAGGCGGCUAUGGUGCCUUCUGUUAGUCUAGGAUCCCAUCCCCUCCUAUUUCCUUUGCCUUUAUGCAGAGGAUACUUGGGACUGUAAAUGUGCUUAACUGCCACCAGAGUCCCUUUAGUUUGUCUAGGAUCCCAUCCCCUCCUACUCAGUUUGCAUUACAGAGUUUACAUGAGACUGUUAUUGUGCUUAAAUCCUAUCCCCACCUAACUACUUUUGCAUUAUACGUAAUGUAUAUGAAGUCUCUUAUAUGCUUAAAUGAAGCCUUGUCCCUCAUGUUAAUGUCGGAUUCCCUCCUCUCCAACUCCCUGUGCAUUACAGCAGAGGGUACUUGGCACCUUUAAGGUGCUUGAAUGUAGCUGUGGUGCCUUCUGUCAAGUCUAGGAUCCCAUUCCCCUUCUACUCCCUUUACAUUACAUGGCAGGGCAUUUGGGACUGUUCUUGUGCAUAACUGCAGUUACAGUCCCUUCUGUUCGUCUAGUUUCCCAUGCCCUCCUACUUCCUUUGCAUUACAGCAGAGGGUACUUGAGACCUUUAAGGUGUUUAAUUGCAGCCACGGUCCCUUCUGUUAGUCUAGGAUCUCACAUCCUUUAACUCCCUUUGUAUUCCCUGGGAUUGUCUUUGGGACUGUUAAAGUGCUUAGUUGCAGCUAUGGUCCCUUUCCUUAGUCUAGGGUCCCAUCCCUUCCUAUUCACUUUGUAUUACCUGGAAGUGGAUUUGGGACUAUUAAUGUGCUUGUUUGCAGCUGUGGUCCCGUUUGUUAAGUCUGGGGUCCCGUGUGUUCCAACUCCUUCUGCACACAGCAAGGACUACUUGGGACUACUAAUAUGUCCUCCUACACCUUUGUAUUACCUGGUAGUAUUUGGAACUAAAAAGUUCUUAAUGGCACCUGUGGUCCCUUCUGUUGUUACAGGAUCCCAGUGUUGGCCAACUCCCUUUGUAUUACAGCAGAGGGCAUUGGAUUGUUAAUAGGCUUAACUGUAGCUGUGGUCCCUUCUGUUAGUCUAGUAUCCCAAGCCUUCCAACUGCCUUUGUGUUACCUGGGAGUGUAUUUGGAACCGUUAAAUUGCUUAAUUGCAGCUGUUGUCUCUUCUAUUAGUAUAGUUUCCCAUGUCCUCCUAUUCAAUUUACAUUACAACAGAGGGUCCUUGGGAUUGUUAAUUGCUGCUGUUGUACCUUCUGUAAUUCCUGGGUUCCCAUCUCCUCCUACUCUGUUUACACUACCUGGGAGGAUUUUUGGGACUGUUAGAAGGCGCUACACAACUAAAUCGAGCAUUUUUUGUUAGUAUUGUUCCCAUGCCCUCCUAUUUUCUUUGCAUUACAACAGAUGGUACUUGGGACUGUUAAAGUACUUAAUUGCAGGUGUGGUCCCGACCGUUAGUCUAGGAUCUCAUUCCCUUCUCCCUUUACAUUAUUGGGAGCAGAUACGGGAAUGUUAACGAGCUUAAUUACAGUUGUUGUCCCUUCUAUUAGUCUAGUUUCCAGUCCCUUCCAACUCCCUUUGCAUUACUUAGGAACAGAUUUGAGACUGUAAUAUGCUUACUUGCAGCUGUGGACCCUUCUGUUAGUCUAGCAUCCCAUGCCCUCUAACUUUCUGUCCAUUACAGCAGAGGAUAUUUGGGACUUUUAAUGGGCUUAAUUGCAGUCCUGAUCCCUUUUGUUAACCUAGGAUCCUAUGUCCUCCAACUCACUUUGCAUUACCUGAGGAUGUAUUUGGGACUGUUUAAAUGCUCAGUUGGAGCUGUGGUCCCUUUUGUGUGUCUAGUUUCCCAUGCCCUCCUACUCUUUUGCAUUAUAGCAGUGGGUACUUGGGGCUGUUAAAGUACUUAACACUUAAAGUGUAGUCACUUUUGUUGGUUUAGGAUCCCAUCCGCUUCUACUCCCUUUACAUUACCUGGGAGGACUUUGGGGAUCGUUAAAGUGCUCAUUUGCACCUGUGGUGCCCUCUGUUCGUCUAGGAUCCGAUGCCCUCUAACUCCCUUUGCUGUAUUACAGCACGUGGUACUUGGGACUGUUACUGUGCUUAAAUACAGGUGUGGUCCAUUUUGCUAGUCAUGACCACCUCCUCCCUUUAUAUUACCUGGGAGCAGAUCUCGUACUGAAAGGUGCUUAAUUGCAGCCGUGUUCCCUUCUGUUAGUUUAGGAUUCUACACCUCCAACUCUGCAUUACAGCAGAGAAUACUUGGGCCUGUCAAAUGCUCACAGCUGUGGUACCUUCUGUCUUGUAGGAACCCAUGCCCACCAACUCCCUUUACAUUAUCUGGGAGUAUAUUUGGGGAGGAUAAAGUGCUUAAUUUUAGCAGUGGUUCCCUUUGUUAGUAUAUUUUCCCAUGCCCUCCUACUGUCUUUGCAUUAUAGCAGAGGGUACUUGGGACUGUGAAUGUGCUUAAAUGCAGUUGUGGUCCCUCUUGUUAGUCUAGGGUCCCAUGCCCUCUCACUCCUUUUACAUUACCUCAGAAGAUACUUGGGACUAUUAAGGUGUAUCCCAUUCACUCACACCCUGUUAACGUUACAGUAGGGGUUUGCUGAAAACCAAGGCCCCCCCUUUUUUUGCAUUGUUAAUGUGCAUAAUUGUAUUUGUUCCUUUUUCUCUGCAGUAGAUAAGAUUUCACUAAUUUCCCAUGUAUUCAGUAGUGGAUGCACUUUAUUUAAGACCUUUGUACUAGGAUAAAGUGAACCAUAGUAGUUGACCACACUAUGUCUUUCAUUUAAGUCCUCUGUACUCUCUUGGAAUUAAUUACCUCAGUUACUUUUUUCCAGGACUAUUUGUGUGCAAAAUUCCAAUGAUUAUGGUCCUUCUCUUUAAACUAAUUUCCCACCUUUUUUAUAUUACAUCAGGGGAUGCUAGUAUCUUAAAGUUCUUUUCUUGGGACUCUUAAUGUGCAUGUGCCCUCUUAAUAAGCUAAUAUCCUUACUUCUUAGUAUUAUAUGGGGGUACUGACCUACAGCCUUUCUGUUGGACAGUUAAGCCAAAUUGCACUGGGAUCCCACCCCCAUAACACCUUCUCUGUGUCAGGGGUGCUGACCAACUAUGACUGCUUCUCCUGUGCAGUUUAAAUGUGCAUAAUUAGAGCAAUCCAUGCUCCCUUAUGUUAGAGUAAGAUCUCAUUUCUUUGCCCAAUUUACAUUAUUCCAGGGGCUUCUGACUAGCCAAGAUUCACGCCCUUGGACUGUUUGUGCAUACUUAACAUUUGCUCUUAUACCUGUACACCAGGUAAGCAUCCUCCCCAUACUAUUUAUAUUCUAGCAGGAGGUGCCUACUACUCAAGAUAUUACACACUAAUGCAGUUAAAUGUGCACAACCUUGUUGUUUUGUACACACUCAGUUGUCCACAACUGUGCCUAAGUUCAGAACUUUGCACUUACUGAAACAGAGGUGACUGAUCACAUUAAAGCCUUUCUCUUGGGACUGUGGAUGUGUGUAGUUUCAGUUGUCCACUGUUCUUUGAGUUAACUUGGGUCCCUGACUCUUCAGAACCUCUAAGCUUUACUGCAUGGGAUACUGUCAAUUUAAGGCCUCUUUCUCAAACUGUUAAUGUGCAUAAUGACAAUUAAAUUAGGAUUCUUACCCUUCACACUGCCUUUGAAGUACUGCAGGAAAUUCUGACUCAUAAGGUCCCAUUUCUUGGCCUGUUAAGAUGUAUGAUUGUAUUUGUCUGGGUUCCUGUGUACUAGAGAAGAACACCUCUCCCCACUCCCUCUUAUCUAUUAUCUAUUACGCAGGGAGUGCCCCCUCUACAAGGCUGUUACACUUGAGCAGUCAAGGAACACAAUUGUAAUUGACCACAACCAUGCACCAUGGAUAUUAAUGUGCACAAUUGCACAUGGCUCAUCCCAUUUGAAUAAGGUACUACCCUCUCAGACCCCUUUUGUAGUAUAGCAGGGGUACUGAUCACUAAGGCCUUUAUUCAUGGCCUGUGGUUAUGCGUAAUUGCAUUUGCACAUGUUUCUGUACACUGAAUUAAGGACACCCCUCUCCCCACUCCCUUUACCUUUUAGCAGGGAGUGCCCAUUACUUUAAGAUCCUUAUAUUUGUACAAGGUACAUGGUUUUAAUUAACCAUACCAUAUCCCUUAGGCAUUAAUGUACAUAAUUGCAGCUUAGUUCGUCCUACCCUGUUGUAUGUCAUUGCAGUAUACCAAGGUUGCUGACCCCUAACUUGUCCUGUUAAUGUGCGUAAUUGCAUUUGUCUGGGUUCUUAGGCACUAGAUGAGGAGACACCACCCACCCCUACUUCUAAGCCUUCCAGUAGGUGGUGCCCAUUGCUAAGACAUUUACAUUUGGAUAGUUAAUGCGCAGAAUUGUAGUUUUCCACAACCCUGUCACUUCCAAAACUAUCAUACCUCCUUUGCACUGCUGCAGGGGAUACUCUUUUCUCCCAAAGGUCCUUGUAGCAAACCGCUAACAUUCAUAAUUGAAAUUGUUCUCUUGUCUUCAGUAGACUAAGGUCCUAUACCCUCACCUUCCCUUUGCAAUACAGCAGAGUGUGCUGAUGAACUAAGGCCCUCUUUUGGACUGUUAGUACGUGCAAUUGCAUUUUUUCCUGUUUUAUGUACUCAAUAAGGACCCUACCUACUUCCUUAGCAUGUUUAGCAGGUAGUGUCCACUAUUUAAAACUCUUUCACUUGGAAAGUUCAUGUGUAUAAAUGCAGUUUGCUAAGCAUGCCUUAUACUAGAACCCCUGUACCCUCUUUGCUUUGGAGUAAGGAGAUGCUAUUUACCUAAUGCCCUUUCUUUUGGACUUUAAUGUGUAUAAUUGCAAUUGUCCAUCUUUUCUGUUGGACUAGGAUUGCAUCCCCUCAAACUCCCUUUGCAUCAGGGGCAUGUUAACCAUAAAUGAGCUCUUCCUGAGAGUAUUAAUAUACAUACUUGUAUUUGUUUGUGGAUUUGUGCAGUGUGAAAGGAUGCUUUAUGCCCCUACCAUUGCCUUUGGAUUGCUGCUGAGGACUGCUAUCAUGACCUCAGCUCUUGGACAAUUAAUAUGCCCCACUAGCAAUGAUGGGACCUAUGUACUCCCUUUGUAUACAUCAGGGGUACUGACUAAGGUCCCUUUCUUGGACAGUCAAUGGGCAAUUAUCUAUGUUCCCUUCUGUUAGAUUUAGGAUAACAUUCCCUUAAACCCCCUUUGCAUUACUAUAGUAAUUACUAUACUAUUAUACUUUGUGCUGACCACACAAAACUUCUCCUGGGACUGUUAAUGGGCACAAUGGCAAUUAGCAAUGAGUUUUUCCUCCCUGGCCUUGUUAGGCAAACAUUCCCAGCCCCAAUUUUGCAUGACAUAAUUUAAGUAUAAACAUUGCAGUAUGCUGUGAACUUGUCUAUCAAAUAGCAACCCAUACUCCCUCUCCUUUUGUAUUGCUCCUAUCUAUAAAAUUCCAAGUAGUCAUGGUCUUCCCCUUAUCCUCCCUCUUCCCAACCCGUGCUCACCCUUGGACCCUUCCUAUGGACCUUUGUCACAGUUUCAGGUGUUCAUCUAUUCAGCCAUUAAAUAGAUUGUCCCUCCCCCCCCCUUUGCAUUAUUGCUGGGGAAUGUUGACUGGGCAAGGCCCUUGCUCUUGGACUUAAAACAUUAACAAUCCCUGUGUCAUUGCCUUACCCACUUUAUAUUGCUGUAAUGCCUCAGUUGUACUUUCCUUAGUCCCACCCAUCGGACAUGGACCCCUCCACUUCUUUGCAUUGCAUUGCUGACUACCCAAAGUCCCUUCUGUGUUAUUGACACAGUACUGAUUGUCCCAUUUUCCCGCUCAUCAGCCCACGAUUUUCCUACCACUUUGAUGUCAAGUGUGCAGUACUGACUACCAAAAGCAGACCUGAAUUAAGUGGAUGGGCCUUCACUCCUUUUUCUGCAUUUGUUAGUGAUCCAAUUCCAGUUGUCACAUUCUGGGACAGGAACCGUCCCUACCCACCUUUGUUACUGCUUUACUGAGCAAAAUGCUCAAGGCAAGUCAGGCCUAGAAAGCCGGAUUGCUGCCCUUUAUUAUGGAUUUUCAAUAUAAGUAUCAGUUGAAAAUUGUCUCCCCAGGAAGAAAGGUUAGCACCAUCUGUGCAUUCUUCCUUCCAGAGCAGAUUGCCUGGCCAAGAAUCUCUCUUCCCCUCUUGUAUAUUGCUAGUGUACAGUGCCGGUUGCCAGGAUACAAAAAAAAAAAAUGCUGUUUGCAAGAUGGAAUUGUAAACCUGGUCAUUUAAUUUUUGAAGUCCAAAAACCCAUUUAUACUAUGUACCUGAUGACCAGUGUCUCUCAUUUUACUAUGGGUGGUGGGUCUGUGGAUAGACCACUGUGAAUCUUGCUAUUUUCGUAUUCCCAAGAGUUCUAGAGCAGAACUCUUCAGACACAUAUCUUUGGGCUCUACCACCAUUUUAAAACCAUUCUUUAUUCGGGCUUUACCACCGUUCACUUUUAGAAAAACUACCUAAACUUUCUAAUCCUUAAAUUUCUUCAUCUGGAUCAUCAGCCACACUUAUUUCAAGAAGAUUGCUAUAAAAGAAUGAACUGAGAGAACAUAUGCUGAGGCACUUUGGAAAACCAUAGUUCACUUUACCUGAUUAAUCUAUUACAUAAAUAAAAUGCACCCUGUUUAAUUCUGCUAAUUUAAAGUAGCCUGAAGCACUACACUGAAGUGAGGACUUAGAAAUGAUGGGACCAAUUUCCCUGUUUUAUAUUAAAGGAAAAAUAAGCCAAGAUCUAGUCAUUCUUCUGGACAUAAAUUUUCAACAGUGAGAUAGCUUCCUGGUAAAAUGAAUAAUAUCCUAGCCUCUAGUGUGCAGGGUGUGGCAGAAAAGUAUCUAAUAUGGAACUGCUGAAGCAAAUAACUAGUCCUCACAACAGCAGUUCUUUGUAAUCACUGAAAAAGGAUACUAUUCCUCUAACAAGGAUGUCAAAAGAUCGGCCCAGCUCAGGGUGCAGUAUGCACUACUAGCUCCUUGGACCGCUGUAAGAAGAGUCUCUGGCUCUUUAGAAUACUGGAUGAAUUCUGAGCUGGUUUUGUACCUCCAGUCAAGAGGAAGGAUGGAUCAACUUUAAGUGGAUUGAAGCCUGCACUAGACAGCAUCCAAAGUAUCUUGAGAACACUGGAGGUGGGAGGAAGGAGAAAGACGUGUUCCUAUGUGAGAUCUUCCUCAGAAGAAUAGGCUUGUUGCUCUAUAGUGUUAGUGACCCGUUCCCUUUGACGAUCCCUAGGUGGAGAUGGGGCAUGAGGAUCCUCCAGGGGAAAAGCUCACUACCACUGGGCAACAACCCUAGGCCAGGAGGUUCUACCAAGAUUCUUCCCUGGGCCCAGGGAGGAAGAUGAAGUCUCAAAACAACCACCACCCAUCAGAGGUGGGAGAACAUGGGCAACAAGUGCCACAUCUGUGACCUUGAUCAUGGGCAGAUUACCAUUUUGGACCCUCUGGUCCCCAGAGUCUUUCUUGAGGCCCUGUUGGGGAAUUUUGACAAUCAUUUACAUACUUCAAGAUGGCUUAGGAUGUCUUUGGGAUAAAACACAAAACAAGCUGUUUGAGAAGAUAAAUAGGAAUUGUAUACUUGCUGAUUAAUGGAACCUGACCAGAAAUGGCACAAAGUUUCUGUUGUCAGCUCCUGAUUGUUCCCUUCUUAUCUGCCAAAUCACUGUCUCCCAAAAGCAGUGCAGAGUGCAAGAAAGUGGAACAUACCAAAGGAAGAUCAACAUGCCUGGCAUGCUACCAUUUUAGAACAGCAGAAUGAAUGUGUAUGUCUUUGCUUGUCUAUUUCUUUCUUGAAUCUCUUUGGUUUUCUUUCUCUGUCUAAAGUGUGUCUUAGCCAUCCCAUGAUUCUCUUGCUAGUUUCUUCUCUGUAUCUUUGUCUCAUUUUGUUUUUUGUUCCUAAGAGUGGUCUGUGCCUUGUCUUAGAUGUCUCUCUCUAGUUUUGUUGUUGUUGUUGUUGUUGUUACUGAUUCUCUUUACUCUCCUAGAACUGGCUCUUCUUUCACUGUUCUUCCCUUUUUGUCUCUGAGUCACAUGCUGUGUGCUUUUUGUUCAUUUCUUGUUCUGCCUAUACCUCUCUUCUUUUACUGUUGUGAACUCUUGAUUGUUCGUCUUCCCUUCCCCUUGUUGUUGGUUUGACGUUUCACCUUUUUCUCAUUCUGGCUUCCCUUCUGCUUUUUCUACUCAUUAUCUCACAUUUCUCUUUUCUAUAUAUUUGUUCUGCCUCUCUUGGCCAUUUUCUGUCUUUUUUUCCCCUGCUAAGUGUCUCUUUGUUCUUUGUGAUUUUCCAUUUCAGCAUUCAUCUCUGUUCUUUGUGAUUUACUAUUUCAGCAUUCAUCUCUGUUCUUUGUGAUUUACUAUUUCAGCAUUCAUCUCUGUUCUUUGUGAUUUACCAUUUCAGCAUUCAUCUCUGUUCUCUUGUUUCUUCUCUGCUUUUCCCCUUCUGCUUACCUUUGAGUAUUUCAGUCUCUGUAUGUGUCUGUGUUCCCCCCCUUUGACUUUAUGCAGUCCUCUCUCCUUGCAUAUUUUUGUGCAUCUGUGUGGUCAUGUGUGUGUGUUUGUAACAAAGGGGUUUCCUAACCCCUUCCCAAUAGGUGCAGAGUGCCAGCUAUCAAAAUCAUGCAGAGCUGUUCGUUAUGCCAGGACACCUUGUGAGAUGAUCUAAGACCUAUGAUAGACAGAAGGUGGAAGACCCAGAAUGGAUAGAAGGCCCAAUGGUUUGAGACUUGAGACCUGAGGACAAACAUGGAAAACCUGUGUUUCAAGAUAGAUGGAAUCCUCAGACUUGAGAUCAACAAAGCCCUGACAGCUAUGAUGUAAAAAGGUGGCUCUUGUUGGAGAGAAGACCUGACUGAGUUGGAUGGAAAGUUCAAAUCUUGAGUUAGAAGUCCAAAGACCCAGAGUGGGAGACUGUAGGCCUAAGUGUGGGGACCCAUGGAAGGCUUGAGACCUAAGACACAAGGUCUAAGACUUGAGAUAAAAACCUAAGAUCCAGGAUGGAAGGCCCCAGACACACAAAAAGACCCAGGACUCCUGCCUGUCUAAAUGGACAGAAGGCCGAAGAGAGAAAGAUGUCUCAAGGCUAAAUUAGGUGGGAAGCUGGAAGCCCAUGACACAGCAUCUGGGAAGAAUAGAAGCCCCAAGACUAAAGGAAAUCCCAAGAUGAAAACACUAAACCCCAGCUUCUUUCUAUUGCUACCCACCCUACCCCUUGACAUUUUCAGUUCUCCCUUUCCAGUUCUUAUGUUUUCAUUUAAGCCCACUUCUUUUGAGGAGCCCUUUUUGAUGUUGCUAUUACCUUAGGAAACGUAUCUUUAGAUUGGCAAUAUUAUGCGUGGGCCAGUCUUAAGCCAAAUUUUAUCACAGUUUUGAGCCAUUUAUUGUUUAUUUUUUAAAUUUCCAUUUCUCUUCACCUCUGCUCCUUGAGAGACACAUAUAGGUAACAUUGUAUUUCAGUCCUCCCUUUUCCUUAGAAGCUCUAGCCUGAUGAGCAAAGGCAAGCGUCAGGCUGUUGGGGGAAAAAAAGUGCCAGGCUAUCUAGAGGAAAUGUGAAGAGAUGUUCCAGGCCAAUGAGAAGAAUUAGACAAGAAAUACCCAGAUAUGCCAUCCUGUUGAGAAGCACCAGCCUGCAACACCUUUCUUCUUUGAGCUUGGGUGAGCAGGAUUCUUGGGGUUUGGGAUUCCUAGUAAUGGUUACAAAAUGAAUGAUUGGGCCUGGGAUGGGGUGAGGCUCCAAAGAGACAGUUUGAACUCCCUGCUUAUAGUAGUGGCCUAAUAAUUUGGUAGAUUGUGCUAGCAUUGCUCCUGGGUUUAACACCCACCUCUAGGCUUAAAGGUGAGAGAACUUGGGAAUAUUAGCAGGUUUAAUCCUUUCCUUGAUUUUUCCCCCCUUACCACGAGGGCAGAUAAUUUAAAUAACUGAGAAUAUACGUGAAAGCACUGUAAAGCACAGAAAAAACAAGGCAUUCUCAUUAAUAGUAUAUUGGCAGCCAUGCACAGCUAACAUUUAAAGUGCACUGUCAGUUGUGAAGCAUUAUGUAAAUCAGGAGUCAUCACGCACUUUCCAUAAAGGGUCAGAUGGUAAAUAUUUUAGGUUUUGUGGGCCAUAUGGUCUCUGACACAUUUUUUUCCUUUACAACCCUUUAAAAAGGAAAAACUAUUCUUAGCUGGUGAACCAAGUAGAUUUAGUCUGGGGGCCAUAGUUUUUAUCACCCCUGAUGUAAAUACCAGGGACUAUGUGCUGAAUAAUAAUAUUUCUGUAUGCCUGUCCCUGUGUACUAAGGAUGCAAUAUUUAUUUAUGAUCACAUCCAGGUAACUUGAAGAAAAAUAUGUGAAUGUGCUUUGUAAACUAUAAAGCACUUAAAGAUUUAUGAGUUUCAGAGUUGAUGAAUGAAUAUUGAUUACAUAGUAUCUAUAUUCUAAAAGAAGCCUGAAUAAAGUACUUUGUCAAAAGUAUAUAAUACUAUGCAGAUACUAGGAAUUGUUUGAAAAAUGAAUAACUCCUAUAUUUUUGGCUAUCGUGUUUCUGCUGCUCUGGUAAUUUUUAGGUAAAAAUACAGUAUUCCAGGUAGCAGAGAAGCAAACACAUGGAAACUGCUUUGAAACCAUAAAAUAUACUGCAAGCACAGGGUAUUAAACUAUUGUGAGCCCUUAAAAUGUGCCGCAUACCAUGGUAGGUGCUACAGAUGUCAAAGGGAAAAGAAGUGUUCUCAUUAUGGAAUUAAAAAUUUCAGAGUAUGAGGUGCAUGUUAACGUGCUUUAUAUACUAAAGCACUAUAUAAAAGCCAGUGGGUUACAUGUUUAUGAAUGGAUGAAUAUUAAUUGCCUUUUAUGGGCCCGGUACUGUUCGGGUACUGUGAAAUCUAAAAUAAUGCUCCCAUGUAAUAAGAGGGAGGUUUAUGUCCUAGACUAUUUAGAUAUAAGGAAUUAGAUAUUGCUUGUUUUAAUCAAGACUUUACUGGUCAUGUCAAAUUAAAUGAUCAGUAUGUUUUCCCAGGUGACGGGAAAAUGUAAUGAUUGAGAUUGCCCUUGCACUUUCUAAAGUGCUCUAUAAAUAUAGGACAUUAUCUAUUUUCUGUGUGAAUAAAACUUUCUGUGAGAUAGGCAUUUUCUGUACAAAAUUCUCAUUGUGUGCUUGACUAUGAUGAAGGUAGUAUAAACAGUUAUACAAACUGAGGGUUUAAAUACUUGUUGAAUGAAUGAAUAUCAUCAGUUGCUCACUAGGUAAACUCACUAUUAGAGGCACUAAAGAGAUAGACUUAUCAUUUCAUUGUGCUUACAGCUGAGAAUAAGGCAAUACAUGUGUAGUAUUUUGGAAACUCUAAAGCACCUUGUAAGUUUAACUACUUAUUUUCUAAUUUGGUGCUGAGUACUAGGCUUAUAAAAUUAUAUUGCAGUCGUCAUUAUACUAUGAAAAAAGUUGAAAAAUUUUUGAGGAAAAAUUACCUCUUGAACACUCUGAAUGUAAUAUAUAAAGGAUUAAAUAUCUGAUAAAUAUAAAACUGGAUAAUAAUUGUCUAUUAUGUGCCAAUCUCAUAAGUCAUUGGCGAUGUGAAAUUAGACCAUCUUUAUUGUGUCCUGGGUAGCAGCAGAUAAUGUAUAAAAUCAAUUUAUAAGUCUUAUACUGCCAAAACAAUAUCUGCUGAGUGAACAUUGAUUAUUUACUUUUAUCCCCAGAGAUAGCAAGUGGGGAUGCAAAAAUUCGUUAUCAGAGGUGUGCAAAUUUACAGAGCCUACUGUUCUAUACAGAUAUAAGGAAAUAAUUUGGCUUAAUGAAUGAUUACUGGUUACUUUCUAUGAGGCUCAGAACUGUCCAUGCCCUACGAUACGAAAAUGAUUUUAUCCUUAUGGGGUGUUCAUUGGAGGAAAUAAGCAAAUAGGUGGGAGAUCCAGACUAAAAGUUACUUAAGCACUGCAAAGCUUAUUUAAUAAAAACAUGGGGAAAAUGGAAUUGUGCCAGGCAGUAUGCUAAAUGCUGACCUCUGUGGAAAGAUAAAAUCUGAAUCAGAGGUGUACUUGCUCCCUGACCUGGCUGAAGAGAUGGGAAAUAUUUUUAAAAAGCAAGGUGUUACAGUUCUCUCAGUCUUUAAAAUGCUGAAUGCUGAAGGUGGAAGUGAAUUCAGUCCACCCUGGUCUGGCUUGAGUCAUUAAAGGAGUAAAAAUAAAUGACUCAGGAGUAAAAAGCAAAUGGCUUUGUUUUUAGAUUCAUUUGAGAUGAAAGACAUCGUUCUAGGUCCUAAGAGAAGUGAAAUGGGCCAAGUCUAAAGGGCAUUAGAAUACAGAUUAUGGAUGAAGAUAAGAAAAUACUGAGUUUUGAGCAAAUAUUUGAGUGCCUGUUCUCCGGAACGUAUUAUGCUAGAAAAAUUAGUUAAGUGGGUCUGGUCCAGAAAAUGCACAUUGACAUGCCUUGGAGAUUAAAAAAAAUAGAAAAAUAAGGCAUGGUUCUUUUAAUAUUAAAUGAAGACAUUAUUUCUAGUUCUAGAAAGUCCCAAUGUCACUUGCUCAUUGAUCUAGUUUGAAGCCCGAAGACUGAUACAAGGGCGCUUAGGACUUGUCCUUUUAUUCGUUACUUUAAUACUCUGUUUUUAUUAUAGAUGAAUGAUUUAAGAUGAGAAUUAAGAUGAAAUAACUGGUUUUAAAAAUAUUUGCUCAUUGACCUGGCUUAGAUCCAGGAAGCCACUUGAGCAGAUUUUUUCCCUACAUUUUCCAUAUUUUGUAAAAAUUUAUUUACCCUGAAUAAAGUACUGUUCUCAAAUGCUGAGAAUUAAGAAAUAAAAGUCCUAGACCAAAAUGUAAUUUAAUCUCAAUAGUCUAUGGUGGAAACACAAGAACAAAUUUAAUAAGAGACUGCAGUUCUUUUAUUACUUGAAUAAAUGUUAUUGAGCUUCUAGGAUAUUAAGACACUAAGAACAAGUGACCACCUUCUCUUUGGCAUGUUUUGUAAAGUGGGAAUAAGAGAGGGCUUUCUAUUAAUUCAUACUAAUACUGAAGGUGAUGUUAAAUUGGAACAGAUCUGGUAUAAAAUGCACUUAGUUUAUCUUGGAGAUGCAAUAAAACAAAACAACACAGAAAAUGGAAUGAAAUUCUUCCUUAAAUGGAAGUGUCUAUUUAAAGGUAUUCUGUUGCUAGACAGAAAACAAAAAAGAUCAUGACUGAAAGAAACUGAUUUUUUAUUAGCUUGGAGACUAGGAUAUAAGAGGUUACUGUUCAUUUCUGCAUUCUACAAGUAUGUUUGAGUGCCUAUUAUGUAUAAGGUUUUUUGCUAUGUUCCCAGUUCUCCUCAGAGACACGAAGAAAUGAAUGCUUUCCUAUAGAACUUUUAAAACUUUCCUUUUGGUCUGUUUUCUAAUUAGGGGCAUGGCUUAGUCCCUUAAUAAUGUUGUAGGUUUUAAUUCCUGUUCUGUAUUUCUUCUACCACUCUGGCCACUACAGUAAGCAGGGUUUUCUAUUGAGCUAGCUCUUUAAGUGUGAGGAACUUUCCUUAUAGUAGAAUUACUUUAUUUUUCUUGGCCCAUUCCUCAGAAAAAAUGGCUGUGACCACUGCUAGGCAGAAGGAGGGAUGAGAAACAACCAAUUCCCAAACCCCAGUCUCAUUGGUACCAGCCUUGGGGAAACAUACCCAAGCCACAGUUGGUUUUGAAACACAUUUAUCAGUUUUAUUUGCUUUUAAUUCUUUACAUUUUACAUUCUGACAAAUAUACACUGCCUAAAUCUCUUUUAAGAACAAUCUUCAGAUGGUACAUAACAUAAUGGGAGAGACAUGAUUUCUCUUUUGCAACAGCUUUGCAACUUAAUCUUUAGAAAUCUCACCAUCAAAACAUGUUCAAGAAAGGAUCUCUUAUAGUGGAAUUAUGUCAGUGAAUAAAAAUAGCUUAAUUUUACCAUAUUUAAAAUUAUAAAAUAAUAGAAAUUGGAAGUAAUUGGCAAAAAUUGGAGGUAAACAAUAAAAAAAUCCUCAAUCUAGCGCCCAACUGGGCUUUGACCUUUUCUAUUUUUAAAUCACUCACAGAGGGUGGGAUUAGGAGGAAGAGUGAAAGAGAAGGUCAAACCAGUUUUAAGGGCAGCCUGCUUGUGUUUUGGAUUGGUUUUAAGAGCAUUACUACCUCCAAAUCAAACUAGGGGAUUGCUUUUUUUAGUUUAAUGCAAUUCCAAUAACUGGCCAUUGUUGAGAUGAAGACACAGUAGUUUUUGAGAAACAAUUUUGGACUAAAUGUUUAUCAACUAAAUACUAAUGUUUGGCUUUUAAUAUGUGGUAUCAGCUAGAUUCUGUAACACUCUUAUUUUCAGGUUGGGGUCGGGGAUUACAUUACUGGAAAUUGGAAAGGAGAAAGUAACUAAAAGCCUUCCUUUCACAGUUUCUGGCAUCUUAAGACUACUGCUACUGAUAAGAAUAAGAACAUGCUGUCAUCUGAUUUUUAUGGCAUAAAUGAAAUUGUGGACAAAUCCGUUUUUAAAGAAAAUGGCUUCGUCUCUACCUUUCUACCUAAAAAGGAAUCUCUGUCAAAUGCUCCGAUAAAUGGGAAGAUACACUUGGACUUGUGAACUGAUGUGAAAUGCAGAAUUUUUUAGCUUUGAGUGUUUUGAAGAUUGAAAAAUCUUGCUCAGCAUGGGUGACCACAAAAACAAUCUAAAGCCAUCUACAUGUCACAACUGAGAGAAAUUGGGGAAUGUUGUCUAAUGUCAAAUAAAAUGUACUGUUUUGAAA